CCUACGGGUGGCAGCAGUGAGGAAUAUUGGUCAAUGGGCGCGAGCCUGAACCAGCCAAGUAGCGUGAAGGAUGACUGCCCUACGGGUUGUAAACUUCUUUUAUAAAGGAAUAAAGUGAGGCACGUGUGCCUUUUUGUAUUUACUUUAUGAAUAAGGAUCGGCUAACUCCGUGCCAGCAGCCGCGGUAAUACGGAGGAUCCGAGCGUUAGCCGGAUUUAUUGGGUUUAAAGGGAGCGUAGAUGGGUUGUUAAGUCAGUUGUGAAAGUUUGCGGCUCAACCGUAAAAUGGCAAUUGAUACUAGAAGACUUGAGUAUCAGUGAGGAAGGCAGAAUUCGUGGUGUAGCGGUGAAAUGCUUAGAUAUCACGAAGAACUCCGAUAGCGAAGGCAGCUUACUAAAUUGACACUGACAUUGAGGUGCGAAAGUGUGGGUAUCAAACAGGAUUAGAUACCCGGGUAGUC
rnacentral:rRNA from 1 species